rnacentral:rRNA from 1 species
UACAGAGGUCUCAAGCAUUGUUCGGAUUCAUUGGGCGUAAAGGGCGCGUAGGCGGCGGGGUAAGUCGGGUGUGAAAUCUCAGAGCUCAACUCUGAAACUGCACUCGAUACUGCUCUGCUUGAGGACUGGAGAGGAGACUGGAAUUCACGGUGUAGCAGUGAAAUGCGUAGAUAUCGUGAGGAAGACCAGUGGCGAAGGCGGGUCUCUGGACAGUUCCUGACGCUGAGGCGCGAAGGCCAGGGGAGCAAACGGG